rnacentral:lncRNA from 1 species
UCUUGUUCAUCAAUCGGAAAUCAAGACAAACCGGGCACUACGGUAAGACGUGAAAACACCCGAUCCCAUUCCGACCUCGAUAUGUGGAAUCAUCUUGCGCCAUAUGUACUGAGAUUGUUCGGGAGACAUGGUCCAAGCCCGGUGAAAAAAUGAAAUAAAAAAAGAUUAUGAUGUCAAAAUCUUGCGCCCUUGUUUUUCCAAUUUCCCGGCUACUGCGUGUUGAUUAUACUUAUUUAAGUACGACGUAUUUGUAUAUUCUAUUUUUUUUAUUUUUUUAUGGCAUCAUCCGGGUUUUCAAGACCCGGUCAAGGAAUUGGAAAAUUCCUUGAAUGGAUUUCUCUGAGCACAAAAUAGAGUGUUUAGUUGAAUAUUCGUUGGUGUCGAAAUGGAGCAC